GGGGACCAUCCUCCAAGGCUAAAUACUCCUGACUGACCGAUAGUGAACCAGUACCGUGAGGGAAAGGCGAAAAGAACCCCGGCGAGGGGAGUGAAAAAGAACCUGAAACCGUGUACGUACAAGCAGUGGGAGCCUCUUAAUGGGGUGACUGCGUACCUUUUGUAUAAUGGGUCAGCGACUUAUAUUCUGUAGCAAGGUUAACCGAAUAGGGGAGCCGAAGGGAAACCGAGUCUUAACUGGGCGUUAAGUUGCAGGGUAUAGACCCGAAACCCGGUGAUCUAGCCAUGGGCAGGUUGAAGGUUGGGUAACACUAACUGGAGGACCGAACCGACUAAUGUUGAAAAAUUAGCGGAUGACUUGUGGCUGGGGGUGAAAGGCCAAUCAAACCGGGAGAUAGCUGGUUCUCCCCGAAAGCUAUUUAGGUAGCGCCUCGUGAAUUCAUCUCCGGGGGUAGAGCACUGUUUCGGCAAGGGGGUCAUCCCGACUUACCAACCCGAUGCAAACUGCGAAUACCGGAGAAUGUUAUCACGGGAGACACACGGCGGGUGCUAACGUCCGUCGUGAAGAGGGAAACAACCCAGACCGCCAGCUAAGGUCCCAAAGUCAUGGUUAAGUGGGAAACGAUGUGGGAAGGCCCAGACAGCCAGGAUGUUGGCUUAGAAGCAGCCAUCAUUUAAAGAAAGCGUAAUAGCUCACUGGUCGAGUCGGCCUGCGCGGAAGAUGUAACGGGGCUAAACCAUGCACCGAAGCUGCGGCAGCGACACUAUGUGUUGUUGGGUAGGGGAGCGUUCUGUAAGCCUGUGAAGGUGGCCUGUGAGGGUUGCUGGAGGUAUCAGAAGUGCGAAUGCUGACAUAAGUAACGAUAAAGCGGGUGAAAAGCCCGCUCGCCGGAAGACCAAGGGUUCCUGUCCAACGUUAAUCGGGGCAGGGUGAGUCGACCCCUAAGGCGAGGCCGAAAGGCGUAGUCGAUGGGAAACAGGUUAAUAUUCCUGUACUUGGUGUUACUGCGAAGGGGGGACGGAGAAGGCUAUGUUGGCCGGGCGACGGUUGUCCCGGUUUAAGCGUGUAGGCUGGUUUUCCAGGCAAAUCCGGAAAACCAAGGCUGAGGCGUGAUGA
rnacentral:rRNA from 1 species